GCUCUUGUAGUGUAGAGGCUAUCACAUGGGAUUCUGAUAUCAGAACAUUCCCAUAACCCUGGUUCGAUUCCAGGCAGGAGCU